rnacentral:rRNA from 1 species
CAGUCGCCGCGGUAAUACGGAGGAUCCAAGCGUUAUCCGGAAUCAUUGUGUUUAAAGGGUCCGUAGGCGGUCUUGUAAGUCAGUGGUGAAAGCCCAUCGCUCAACGGUGGAACGGCCAUUGAUACUGCAGGACUUGAAUUAUUGGGAAGUAACUAGAAUAUGUAGUGUAGCGGUGAAAUGCUUAGAGAUUACAUGGAAUACCAAUUGCGAAGGCAGGUUACUACCAAUUGAUUGACGCUGAUGGACGAAAGCGUGGGUAGCGAACAGGAUUAGAUACCCGGGUAGUCCCUGUCUCUUAUAC